rnacentral:rRNA from 1 species
CCUACGGGAGGCAGCAGUAGGGAAUCUUCCACAAUGGGCGAAAGCCUGAUGGAGCAACGCCGCGUGGGUGAAGAAGGUCUUCGGAUCGUAAAACCCUGUUGUUAGGGAAGAAAGUGCGUGAGAGUAACUGUUCACGUUUCGACGGUAUCUAACCAGAAAGCCACGGCUAACUACGUGCCAGCAGCCGCGGUAAUACGUAGGUGGCAAGCGUUAUCGGGUUUUACUGGGCGUAAAGGAAACGCAGGCGGUCUUUUAAGUCUGAUGUGAAAGCCUUUGGCUUAACCGGCGUAGUGCAUUUGAAACUGUGGGACUUGAGUGCAGAAGAGGAGAGUGGAAUUCCAAGUGUAGCGGUGAAAUGCGUAGAUAUAUGGAAGAACACCAGUGGCGAAGGCGGCUCUCUGGUCUGUAACUGACGCUGAGGUUCGAAAGCGUGGGUAGCAAACAGGAUUAGAUACCCCGGUAGUC